rnacentral:tRNA from 1 species
GGGCUUUAGUGGAGUCUUCUAGACUUCGGCUUGGACUCAUAAUCCAUUGGUCGAAGGUUCGAGUCCUUCCGGGCCCACCA